rnacentral:lncRNA from 1 species
GGAGGACUAGGGUAAGAGCACCCCCAUUCUCAGGAGCGGGAAGGAGGUGACUUCUCAUGCAGUUAGCCAAAGUAUUAACAUCUUAGCUUUGCAGAGGAAAAAAUUUAAAAGAAGCUAAUGGGUUCAUCUCAGCCAAUAUUUGGAGGCAACAGCAAGGCUUCCCCAGAACUUUCCAAGUCUGACACAAAACCCAGAAGCAACAAAGGAAAAGAAUGACAGAUUUAAGUGCAUGAAGUCUAAAUAUAUCCUGCAGGGCUCAAGAAACCAUAAGCAAAGGUAAAGCCAAAUACGAACAGGUAAAAGAUGAUAUAUGUACAAGAAACCUGUUAAAUGACACUAAUACAUAAAAAAGCUUCAACAAUUCAGUAAGAAAAAGACAAUUCAGCAGGAAAAAGUGGGCAAGUAACAUGGGACUUGUAGAAGAAAUACAAACACACACUUUAAGGGCGUCAACAUUUUUUUUUUCGACACAGGGACUUGCUACGUAGUUCUGACUGCAGCAGUGCUCCUACCUCAUCUCGUCGUAGUGCUGGGAUUAUAGGCAUGCAUCACCAUACCUGGGAUCGAACUCAGGACCUUGCGCUUUCGCUUUCAAGGCAGGCUGCAGAACCACUGAGCUAAAUCCCCCGGCCCUGAAGACUGAAGCCAUUGACCAGUGUCUGCUACCAAAGUGGUCUACCACACCACGGAGCCACGCCUCAGCCCCAAUGAAAGUAUUGGUAAUCAGAUGACCUAGGACUUCCCAACUG